rnacentral:rRNA from 1 species
AUUGAACGCUGGCGGCAGGCCUAACACAUGCAAGUCGAGCGGAUGAAAGGAGCUUGCUCCUCGAUUCAGCGGCGGACGGGUGAGUAAUGCCUAGGAAUCUGCCUAGUAGUGGGGGACAACGUUUCGAAAGGAACGCUAAUACCGCAUACGUCCUACGGGAGAAAGUGGGGGAUCUUCGGACCUCACGCUAUUAGAUGAGCCUAGGUCGGAUUAGCUAGUUGGUAGGGUAACGGCCUACCAAGGCGACGAUCCGUAACUGGUCUGAGAGGAUGAUCAGUCACACUGGAACUGAGACACGGUCCAGACUCCUACGGGAGGCAGCAGUGGGGAAUAUUGGACAAUGGGCGAAAGCCUGAUCCAGCCAUGCCGCGUGUGUGAAGAAGGCCUUCGGGUCGUAAAGCACUUUAAGUUGGGAGGAAGGGCUUACAGCGAAUACCUGUGAGUUUUGACGUUACCGACAGAAUAAGCACCGGCUAACUUCGUGCCAGCAGCCGCCGCAG